UACGUAGGUCCCGAGCGUUGUCCGGAUUUAUUGGGCGUAAAGCGAGCGCAGGUGGUUUAUUAAGUCUGGUGUAAAAGGCAGUGGCUCAACCAUUGUAUGCAUUGGAAACUGGUAGUCUUGAGUGCAGGAGAGGAGAGUGGAAUUCCAUGUGUAGCGGUGAAAUGCGUAGAUAUACGGAGGAACACCAGUGGCGAAGGCGGAUUGCUGGACAGUAACUGACGCUGAGGCGCGAAAGCGUGGGGAGCAAACAGG
rnacentral:rRNA from 1 species